rnacentral:lncRNA from 1 species
GAUCCUCGCCCGUUCCCUCCUGGUCGUUUCCGCAGUAACCUCUUAUCAGAGCGGGCAGCUGUGAGUGGCGCUCACAUCCGCCGCUGCCCUGUCGAAUGGGGGAAAGAGUUCUUGUGUUCUGAGGAGGGUUUGGCUAUGGUCCUUGACCCUAUUCUUGUCUCAGACUUGCCUCCCAGGUAUCGAGGUCUCCCUGUGGGUUUCAUAUGGCUUGGUCCUUUAGGAGCUGGAAAAAUUAGGCAUAAAGUCCCCCCACCCCCUUGACAGAACGCCCCUUCUGACUCCAGAGGUCCUUUAUCGAGUGCCAGGCAUUGGUCUAGGGGCAUUUGAAAAAGAUUCACUGAAGGACAUUUUUAAGAGUUCGCUUUCUCAGAGGGCAGCUUCUCAAACUCAUUCGCUGGUUUCUUUUCCUCUUUCCGCCUGUUUAAGGAAUAUAGGAGGAUUGUAUGCCCUGGCCUCCCUGUGAUGGGGUUGAACUACAUGACAUGUUCUCCGAAUUAAGUGUGAGCAUAGCAUUUAAUUGUUGAUGCAAGACCUUCCAGAACUCUUUUUCUCUUUGCCAUGGCAAUCAUCAGUGUUCCAGAGAGCAUAUGCACGAUCAGCCUUGGUAUUGGAGGGAAGAUGAUGCGGAACAGAGUCCCAGUCACAUCAUGAAGGACAUGUAAAGUGAGAAGUAAACCUUGGUUGUUUUAA